UACGUAGGGGGCAAGCGUUGUCCGGAUUUAUUGGGCGUAAAGAGCGUGUAGGCGGCUAGGUAGGUCCGUUGUGAAAACUCGAGGCUCAACCUCGAGACGUCGAUGGAAACCAUCUAGCUAGAGUCCGGAAGAGGAGAGUGGAAUUCCUGGUGUAGCGGUGAAAUGCGCAGAGUAUCAGGAGGAACACCGGUGGCGAAGGCGGGUCUCUGGGCCGAUACUGACGCUGAGGAGCGAAAGCGUGGGGAGCGAACAGG
rnacentral:rRNA from 1 species